rnacentral:lncRNA from 1 species
ACUUGUCGUUGCAAAAAUAACAAAAGAAAUAUCUUUAAAUGAAAUAUUGAAGUCCCCCUCCAACUCAAUAUUAGUGUAAAGUCGUUCCCUGUGAUCUUAAAAUAAAAUUGACAAAACAAAUGUUGUUUUUUAUGACGUAUUUUUUGCAAAGCGGUAGUUGUUCAUUAGAAUUUCGCCUCUGAGUUGAAGGCAGGACUGUUGCAGCAGAAGUCAGACUCAGCUAAUUCCCGUGUCCCAUUUCUUUACGCUCCCUUCUGCUAGCUAUAGCUCCUCACAUUGUCCUGCUGCUGCUGCCAGGCCUUUUUCCCAUCCAAUAUUUUGGCUCACCUGGCAGGUGUGGCCAAUGUCUCCUGAUCACCACCAGAUGUCUAUUUGAGGCAGAGGAGGCCACACCAAGCCAGGCAGGACAGCAGGCUGGGCGGUGCUGAUUUGAUUUGAUUUGAUUUGAUUUGAUUUGAUUUGAUUUGAUUUGAUUUGAUUUGAUUUGAUUUGAUUUGAUUUGAUUUGUCUCUUUUACCCUUUUUGUCCUCAGCAAUCUAGAUUGCUGGGUUUUGUUGUGUUAGUUUGGAGUUGGAUCUUGGCUAGCUCUGAUUUAUGGGCUUUGUUUCAUUUCUGUUUUGGUUAGGCAGCCCUCAGCAGGGAGCUCGCCAUGGCUGGCUCUCCACCGCUGCGUAAUCUUUAUGUCCUCGCCAUAAAAGCCGCGCGCGCUGGCAGCCGGCGUGUCUGCGCAGCAUCAGGAGCAGCCUCGCAUCACUUUCUUCAUUCCGCUUCAUCUGACACAUUCAAAUGGGAGCUCGCUGCCUUCCGCUCCGACGCGGCGUCUGCGCGCAGCCAGCGAGCAGAGCGCACAUCUGAGGACGAAAUACGCAUGAAGAAAAUUAGUUUUUGUCUUUACAAACAUGAGGUAGGAGCUCCUCCUGUAUUUUUUUCACCACUUUGAAGCACCAGGAACAAGGAUUUAUACCAUUAUUUAUUUAUUUCCAAACGGCCAUAACUCUUUAUUACGGCCGUUACGCAGAGAGGGAGCUUCCUGUAGUGACUGUUACAGCUGUUUAUGUGCACUUCUAAAUUAUGUAAUUAUCUUCUUUAUUUUUGUUUAAAUAUUCUGUUUUCUUGCUUUAAUGCUCUUUCAGUCGCACUCCUGUUCCAGACGCAUUUGUGUUUGUUUC